ACGGCUCAGUAACACGUGGGCAACCUACCCUUAGGACAGGUAUAAACCCGGGAAACUGGGUAUAAUCCCCGAUAGUCCUCGGCUGCUGGAAUGCAUCGAGGACGAAAGCUCCGGCGCCUAAGGAUGGGUCUGCGGCCUAUCAGGUAGUAGUGGGUGUAACGUACCUACUAGCCUACGACGGGUACGGGUUGUGAGAGCAAGAGCCCGGAGAUGGAUUCUGAGACACGAAUCCAGGCCCUACGGGGUGCAGCAGGCGCGAAAACUUUACAAUGCCGGCAACGGCGAUAAGGGGACCUCGAGUGCCAGGUUACAAAUCUGGCUGUCGUGAUGCCUAAAAAGCAUUGCAUAGCAAGGGCCGGGCAAGACCGGUGCCAGCCGCCGCGGUAACACCGGCGGCUCGAGUGGUAACCGUUAUUAUUGGGUCUAAAGGGUCUGUAGCCGGCCGGAUAAGUCUCUUGGGAAAUCCAGCAGCUUAACUGUUGGGCUUUCAGGAGAUACUGUCUGGCUCGAGGCCGGGAGAGGUGAGAGGUACUUCAGGGGUAGGGGUGAAAUCUUGUAAUCCUUGAAGGACCACCAGUGGCGAAGGCGUCUCACCAGAACGGACCUGACGGCAAGGGACGAAAGCUAGGGGCACGAACCGGAUUAGAUACCCGGGUAGUCCUAGCCGUAAACGAUACUCGCUAGGUGUCGGCCACGGUGUGACCGUUGUCGGUGCCGUAGGGAAGCCGUGAAGCGAGCCACCUGGGAAGUACGGCCGCAAGGCUGAAACUUAAAGGAAUUGGCGGGGGAGCACA
rnacentral:rRNA from 1 species